UUUGUUGUAAAAACUUAAAUGAAAUCCCACUCUCGACUAUACUAAAAUGGCACAUGCGCGUAAUGAGGGUCGGCCCAAGGGCUAAGCUAGAGUAGAGUGGCCCUCGAUGUUGUAAAUAGGUCUUUUAACUAUAUUAAAUUUGAUCAUUCAUCUUCUAAUUGAACACCCUUAAACCUUAAUGAAAUACUUAUGAGAAAGCACUAGGGGUGCUACCUAUAUAUUAAUUAAUUAAUGUAUUGCUCAAAUAUCAGAAAAAUCAGGGAGGAAAAAUUGGAAUUGCUAUGAAUGCUAUAUGGUAUGAACCAUUUAGCAACUCUACGGAAGACAAGUUAGCUGCUGAGAGA
rnacentral:lncRNA from 1 species